rnacentral:tRNA from 1 species
UUCCUGGUGGUCCAGUGGUCAGGAUUUGGCACUUUCACUGCCAGAGCCUGGGUUCAAUCCCUGCUCAGGCAG